GUGCCAGCCGCCGCGGUAAUACGUAGGGUGCGAGCGUUGUCCGGAAUUACUGGGCGUAAAGAGCUCGUAGGUGGUUUGUCGCGUUGUUCGUGAAAACCUGAGGCUUAACCUUGGGCGUGCGGGCGAUACGGGCAGACUGGAGUACUGCAGGGGAGACUGGAAUUCCUGGUGUAGCGGUGGAAUGCGCAGAUAUCAGGAGGAACACCGGUGGCGAAGGCGGGUCUCUGGGCAGUAACUGACGCUGAGGAGCGAAAGCGUGGGGAGCGAACAGGAUUAGAAACCCUCGUAGUCC
rnacentral:rRNA from 1 species